rnacentral:rRNA from 1 species
GAUGAACGCUGGCGGCGUGCCUAAUACAUGCAAGUCGAACGAACUGUUUGUCUUCGGAUGAGCAGUUAGUGGCGUCCGGGUGAGUAACACGUAGGUGACCUAUCCCGAGGUGGGGAAUAACCACCCGAAAGGGUAGCUAAUUCCGCAUAAGUUCCAGGAUUCAGUUUCUGGAGGAAAGCCGAAAGGCGCCUUGGGCGGGCCUGCGGCCGAUUAGCUAGUUGGUGGGGUAAUGGCCUACCAAGGCGGAGAUCGGUAGCUGGUCUGAGAGGAUGAUCAGCCACACUGGCACUGAAACACGGGCCAGACACCUACGGGUGGCU